GACGAACGCUGGCGGCGUGCUUAACACAUGCAAGUCGAACGGAAAGGCCCUGCUUUUGUGGGGUGCUCGAGUGGCGAACGGGUGAGUAACACGUGAGUAACCUGCCCUUGACUUUGGGAUAACUUUAGGAAACUGGGGCUAAUACCGGAUAGGAGCUCCUGCUGCAUGGUGGGGGUUGGAAAGUUUCGGCGGUUGGGGAUGGACUCGCGGCUUAUCAGCUUGUUGGUGGGGUAGUGGCUUACCCAGGCUUUGACGGGUAGACGACCUGAGAGGGUGAUAGGCGACCUGGGAACGGAGACACGGUCAAGAGGCCUAAGGGAGGCAGCAGUAGGGAAUGGGACGCAAUGGGCGAAAGCAUGACGGAGCAACGCCGAGUGAGAGAUGAAGGUGUUCGGAUCGGAAAAAUCGGUUAUGAGGGAAGAACAAAUGUGGAAGGAAAUAUGCAGGGAGUGACGGUAAUGAAUCAGAAAGCAACGGCUAACUACGUG
rnacentral:rRNA from 1 species